GGGGGGUUAGCGCAGCUGGGAGCGCGUUUGACUGGCAGUCAAGAGGUCACGGGUUCGAUCCCCGUACUCUCCACCA
rnacentral:tRNA from 1 species